AGAGUUGAAGGAUACUGAUCUUUAAGCUUUCAAAGUUUAAGAAGUAAUAUGAAUUUACAAUUCAUC
rnacentral:tRNA from 1 species